rnacentral:rRNA from 1 species
AACGAACGCUGGCGGCGCGCCUAAUACAUGCAAGUCGAGCGAGAAGGUGUAGCAAUACACUUGUAAAGCGGCGAACGGGUGAGGAAUACAUGGGUGACCUACCCUCGAGUGGGGAAUAACUAGCCGAAAGGUUAGCUAAUACCGCAUACGAUUCCCGGAUUACGGUUCGGGAAGGAAAGCGAUACCGUGGGUAUCGCGCUCAUGGAUGGGCUCAUGUCCUAUCAGCNGUUGGUGAGGUAACGGCUCACCAAGGCUUCGACGGUAGCUGGUCUGAGAGGACGAUCAGCCACACUGGCACUGCGACACGGGCCAGACUCCUACGGGAGCAGCAGUAAGGAAUAUUGCGCAAUGGGCGAAAGCCUGACGCAGCGACGCCG